rnacentral:lncRNA from 1 species
GCUAGCAAAGGGGGCUGGCCAAGAGGUGUUCACCUGAACUCAAAGAGGAGUCCAACUCCUCUUCUUAUUCCAUGCCACAAACCAAAAAUAAGGCCCUUUUAAGAGUCCUAAUCUGAUUCUAAAUCAGUUAGGAUUGAUUUAUUUCGAUAUGAGAGAGAGAGGGAGAGUUCUAGGAGAAUGGAGCGCCAACUAUUGGCACCCCUUCUCUUAUUGCGCACGU